GGACCAUAGCUCAGUGACAGAGCAUUUGCCUUGCAUUCAGAAGGUCCCAGGUUCACUCCUCGGCAUCUCCA